rnacentral:rRNA from 1 species
UACGUAGGUGGCAAGCGUUGUCCGGAUUUAUUGGGGUUAAAGGGUGCGUAGGCGGCCCCAUAAGUCAGUGGUGAAAUACGGCAGCUCAACUGUCGAGGUGCCAUUGAUACUGUGGGGCUUGAGUACAGACGAGGUAGGCGGAAUUGACGGUGUAGCGGUGAAAUGCUUAGAUAUCGUCAAGAACACCGAUAGCGAAGGCGGGUCUCUGGGCCGAUACUGACGCUGAGGAGCGAAAGCGUGGGGAGCGAACAGG